CAGUAGCCGCGGUAACACGUAGGUGGCAAGCGUUGUCCGGAAUUAUUGGGCGUAAAGGGCUCGCAGGCGGUUUCUUAAGUCUGAUGUGAAAGCCCCCGGCUCAACCGGGGAGGGUCAUUGGAAACUGGGAAACUUGAGUGCAGAAGAGGAGAGUGGAAUUCCACGUGUAGCGGUGAAAUGCGUAGAGAUGUGGAGGAACACCAGUGGCGAAGGCGACUCUCUGGUCUGUAACUGACGCUGAGGAGCGAAAGCGUGGGGAGCGAACAGGAUUAGAUACCCCCGUAGUCCCUGUCUCUUAUAC
rnacentral:rRNA from 1 species